UCUAUAUUUUACCCUUUUUAAAUAUUAGGGUAAAUUUCAUAAACUAUCCCUGAAGUUUGGCCAAAUAUCAAGGAGGUUUAAAGGAUUUCAAAAUUGGCCAUUUGAGUCCUUUAGUCCAAACGGACUGUAAUGCCGUUAUUUAUUUUAGUUCUCUCUCACUCUCCAACAUUUCUACUCUCUCCUCACUCUUUCUCUGGCUACCUCAACCCUUCUUCCACUCUCAGAUCACUCUUUCUUCUCACACACACACACUCUCUCUCUCUCUCUGAAAGAGAGAACCAAAAAAGAAGAAGGGAGAAAUGGCUACGGUGACUUCCUUCUCCAGAGGAUUCGCUUCGGGAUCUGAGGAAAACAAGGUCAUCGGCAGUGGCCCUGGUGGCUACAUGGCCACCAUCAAAGCCGCUUAGUUGGGUCUCGAGACCACUUGUAUUGAGAAGCGUGGUGCCCUCGGUGGCACUUGCCUCAACGUCGGUUGCAUUCCCUCCAAGGUUAGAUUCAGUUUUACAUAUUUUUUUUCGUUUAGUGCUUCUGAGAUCUAAUUGGUUAAUUUGUUGUAGUAUUGUAAUUUUUUUCGGUGUGAAUCUGUGUUGGCUCUCGUGGUCUUUGUGGUGGCGUCGUGCUGUGGGUUUGUACUGGUUCGUGGGUGUGGAUCGGCGUUGGAGGGUUUGGCUUAUUUGUGGGUUGGCGAUGGAUGUUUGUGGGUUUUGGUUUGGAUUGAUUGUGGGUUGGUAGUGCGGUGGAGGCUUGUGGAUUUUGGUUUGGAUCGGUGGUGAUGGGUUUGCUUUGGGUUUUAUUUUUUUUUUUUUUUUUUGAGCAAAAAGUUUGAGUUGGUUUGAGCAAAGGUUUUGUGGGUUCUUAUGAAUGGUUAUGUUAAGUUUAAUAUGGGUUCUCAGGCUUUGAGGGAUAUGUUGGUGAGUGGAGUUGAGCUUGAUGAAUUUUGUGUAAACUGUACUUAUUGCUUGUGCUCAAACUGGGGCGGUUUUGCAAGGGAAAAAUAGAUUCAUGAGUAUGUUAGGAAGAGGAAAGGGAUGGAGACAGAUGUGUUUGAGGGUGAGAGAGGGAAACUAAAAUAAAUAAUGGCGUUACAGUCCGUUUGGACUAAAGGACUCAAAUGGCUAGUUUUGAAAUCUUUUGGAUCUCCUUGGUAUUUGGUCAAACCUCAAGGGUAGUUAGUGAAAUUUACCCUAAAUAUUAUUUUGGGUUAAGAUUGUUGAAUUUUCUUCAUGUAUUAUAUUUAUUUUUGUAUUAAUAAAUUAAUAAAAUAAUUAUUAUAUCAUCAUGAUCUAACUUCGAUCGGACUUGAAUCUUGAAAACUUUAAAUCUCUUCUUUUUACCGUUCAUUAAACAGUUUGGACCUAAAAACCAUGAUUAUUUGAUUAUCCUUUCAUUAUUUGUUUUUUCAUUUGCACUUGGUGUUUUAUGUUUUGUAACUCGUGGCUAUUCAUUUUCGUUUGGGCAUUGGUGUAACCCAUGGCUAUUCAUUUCCUUUUGCUUUUCAGUUUAGUUCUUUGUGUAAAUAAAACAAGCCUUGAAAAUUAGGAAUAUAAGCAGUGCCCAUCGUCCUCUGCUCUUAUUUUGUAUCA